GUGUUUGCUUCAGCAGCACAUCUCCUAAAGCUAGAAUGAAACAGAGAAGCAUGGGCCCUGGGCAAGAAUGACAUGCAAAUUCGUGAAGCAUUCUAUACUAAG
ensembl:snRNA U6 U6 spliceosomal RNA